rnacentral:rRNA from 1 species
GCAAGUCGAAGGAGAAGGAGAGUGCUUGCACUCUCUGGAGACUGGCGGACGGGUGAGUAACGCGUAGCUAACCUGCCUUUAGCUGGGGGAUAACACUGCGAAAGUGGUGCUAAUACCGCAUAAUGCAGCGGGGCCGCAUGGCCACAGUUGUUAAAGGUUUCGACCGGCUAAAGAUGGAGCUGCGUGCUAUUAGCUAGUUGGUAAGGUAACGGCUUACCAAGGCGAUGAUAGCUAGGGGGUCUGAGAGGAUGAUC